AGGGGGAGGCUCCAGGCCUCCAGGGCAGAAAGAAGAGGGUGGGACCUCAAGACAAAGAAAUAGGAUCCAGGGGACACAUGCAAAGUCCUUCUGCAGGUGCAGGGCAGGUUAGGAAGGCCGGAGGUCGUGGGUGUCCUGUUGAGGCCCUCCAUAGCUUGUGCUUAAGCGAUGCUCACACACACACCCGUGCACACGUGUGAGUGCACACACACACACACGUGUGCCUGCCAAGUUGGCAUGAGCUUGGCCUGGGACUCCCCAGCCUGGCCUCCCUCCUUGCACCAGGGAAGGCUCCGUGGGAGGCUAGGCAAGGCCGCCUGCAGCUGCACCCCAGACCAGCCCUGGAGCUUAGCUCCCCGGAGGGCAGCCAUGGGGGCCGAGCACAUGUGCUAGAGGCCCCGCCACCCCCUGCAUGGGCCCACACAAGCAACCUCCGUGACACAUCUACCCCCAGGCUUAGAGGGUGGGAGGCCUUCCGGGCUUACGGAGGGGGAUGGGGCACAGGGGCUGGGGCUGAGGCCAGGCUGCUGCAGGAUGGUGCCCCUAGACGCUGGGUUGGCUGGUGACUCAGAGUUAGCAUGGCAGCCAGAGUCAUCUACCCUUCCACUCGCCCAUCAUACUGUCAGCCAGGACAGUAGCAUUCCUGUUGCCACCGGAUGGCCCAUCAACAGCAUGGGGACCUCCUUCUGACACCACGGCUCCCUCUUCCCAGCAGCUUCAGCUGGUGCCUCCCCUCUCUCAGCCUCAGCUUCCCCACUGCCAUCCAUCCGCUCAGUCAGUUCUUCCCAGAGUGGUCACUCAUGGACUCUGUUAUGCGGCAGGGGCUAGAGCCUCCGCCGUGCCCGGGAGGGGCCCACAGUCAGGAGGGAACGUGGGCAGGCAGCCGUGGGUGAGGCCCAGGACAGAGGGUCCAGGGAGCUCUCAGCAUCCAGAGCUGCAGUCAGGGAAGGGGACCCAGGUGAGGGGACCUCUGACAUGGGCUUUGCAGUGUGACUAAGAGUUCACAAAGAGAAGCGUGUUCCCUGCCGGAGUGUGGUCCUCAGGGGCCUGUGGUUCCAGGGUCCCAUGACUAAAGCCUGUGCCCAGGAGAGAUGAGCAGGGAC
rnacentral:lncRNA from 1 species